AGCAGCCGCGGUAAUUCCAGCUCCAAUAGCGUAUAUUAAAGUUGUUGCAGUUAAAAAGCUCGUAGUUGAAUUUCGGGGUUAGUAGGUUGGUCAUGCCUCUGGUAUGUACUGGUCUCACUGAUUCCUCCUUCCUUAUGAACCGUAAUGCCAUUAAUUUGGUGUUGCGGGAAAUUUGGACUGUUACUUUGAAAAAAUUAGAGUGUUUAAAGCAAGCUAACGCUUGAAUGCAUUAGCAUGGAAUAA
rnacentral:rRNA from 1 species